rnacentral:lncRNA from 1 species
CGUGACCACGGAUCACCACACCGUGGGUCCUCUCCAGGGCCUCGCAUCCGUGUGUCAGCUUCCUCAGUCACCACCGGGGAGGGCCUGCAGAGUGAUGUCCUGCAAACAGUUCAGACCCUGCCAGGCCACGGGCCGUGCGCGAGGUGGGGGGUGGGAGGUGAUAGUCCUCGGUGGAACCCACCCGGGAGCGUGGCGCGGCCGCCUUGGGGACCGGCCCUCCCCCUGCCUUCCCUCAGCCCUGCCCGGCCCGGGGAGGGGCGCGGGCCGUUCCCCUCCCCCACGGCCGCCCGGCCGCCGUCGCCCCACCCGGGGGAGGCUGCUUGCGGCCCGCGCCCUUGCUCGGCACGCGAGCCCCGGGCCGGGCCGGGCCUGGCGGGGAGGCCGGGUUGCGGUACGAACCUCGCUGUUGAAGGUCUUCACGGCCUCCAUGUUGUCUGCGCAGAGGCCCGGGGCCCGACGGAGGAAGAGGCGGCGGCCGGGUGCGAUGCGUGCGGAAAGGCGGGCGACGGGCCCAGGAGGCCGCGGAGCACUGCGAGCAGGCGACGCUCCUCAGCGCCGGCGAGGCCCCAGCAUGGCCGCGGGGCGGGCGCAGUGAGCAGGACUGAGGCCGCCGGGGCGGGUCGGCGGCGGGGGAGGGGCUGGCGCGGCGCCUUCUCUGCUUCUCCGCCCCGCUCGGAAGCGGCCUCCACACUCAAGCUUCGGCCCCCUCCACUCUCCACCCCCUUCUCCUCCUUCCUCUUCCUCCCACGGGCUCCUGUGUCACCUCCCUGCCGCCUAGGCCGCGGGAACCUGCAGCGCGCAGCGAAGACACAGGAGGAAGCGCUGACCGCGGCGGCUGCGGCAUCCAAUAUGGCGGACGCGGUCGAGCCGCGCACUCGGAGUCGGCGGCGCCAGCCAGCGCGCCCCCUGGCGACCAGGCCGCGCGAGGUCCGCGGCCCGCGCCAGACCAUAGAGAUGGCGUGGGCCAGAGCGUCUGGAGUCGCUGCGGCGGGAGCGGGGAACCCGAGGCCCUUGGCUGUCCUCAUCCCCGGCCGCCGGAGCGAGCGCUGCGGCUGGACGGAGGGGCUUCGGGUGGCCGAUCCCGCGGAUGAGCGCCGCUCUGGAAACAAACAAAAACAAAGUUCAGGGAAAGAGACCGAAUGGAGGAAACUACGGUGUCUUCGUUGCCGCUUCCGGGUGGGAUGGCACCUGCGGUGGAAGAGGGAUUGA